rnacentral:sRNA from 1 species
GAUGGAGUCUUGCUCUGUUGUCCAGGCAGGAGUGCCAUGGCACGAUCUUGGCUCACUGCAGUCUCUGCCUCUUGAGUUCCAGUGAUUCUCCUGCCUCAGCCUCCUGAGUAGCUGGGAUUACAGGCAUGCACCACCACACCCAGCUAAUUUUUGUAUUUUUAGUAGAGACAGGAUUUCACUACAUUAGCUAGGCUGGUCUCAAACUCCUGACCUCAGUUGAUCCACCUGCCUUGGCCUCCCAAAGUACUAGGGUUACAAGUGUGAGCCACCGUGCCCAGCUGAGAUCUGAUGGUUUUAUACAUGUUUGACAGUUGCUCCUUCACAUGUUCCCACUCUCUGUGCGGCCACCAUGUAAGUCGGACCUGCCCUUCUACCAUGAUUGUAAGUUUCCUGAAGGACUUCCCCCUCUGCCAUGAUUGUAAGUUUCCUGAGGCCUCCCCAGCCAUGUGAAACUGAGUCAAUUAAACCUCUUUCC